GGAAUAUUGGUCAAUGGGCGCGAGCCUGAACCAGCCAAGUAGCGUGCAGGACGACGGCCCUAUGGGUUGUAAACUGCUUUUAUGCGGGGAUAAAGUGACGUACGUGUACGUUUUUGUAGGUACCGCAUGAAUAAGGACCGGCUAAUUCCGUGCCAGCAGCCGCGGUAAUACGGAAGGUCCGGGCGUUAUCCGGAUUUAUUGGGUUUAAAGGGAGCGCAGGCGGAGGCUUAAGCGUGACGUGAAAUGCCGCGGCUCAACCGUGGAAGUGCGUCGCGAACUGGGUUUCUUGAGUGAGUGCGACGUGUACGGAAUUCGUGGUGUAGCGGUGAAAUGCUUAGAUAUCACGAAGAACCCCGAUUGCGAAGGCAGUGCACGAGCCCUUUACUGACGCUAAAGCUCGAAGGUGCGGGUAUCGAACA
rnacentral:rRNA from 1 species